CAGUCGCCGCGGUAAUACGAAGGGUGCAAGCGUUAAUCGGAAUUACUGGGCGUAAAGCGUGCGUAGGCGGUUUGUUAAGUCUGUUGUGAAAUCCCCGGGCUCAACCUGGGAAUUGCAGUGGAUACUGGGUCACUAGAGUGUGGUAGAGGAUAGUGGAAUUUCCGGUGUAGCAGUGAAAUGCGUAGAGAUCGGAAGGAACAUCUGUGGCGAAGGCGACUAUCUGGGCCAACACUGACACUGAGGCACGAAAGCGUGGGGAGCAAACAGGAUUAGAUACCCGCGUAGUCCCUGUCUCUUAUAC
rnacentral:rRNA from 1 species